rnacentral:rRNA from 1 species
UGGGGAACUUUGGACAAUGGGCGAAAGCCUGAUCCAGCCAUGCCGCGUGAGUGAAGAAGGCCUUCGGGUUGUAAAGCUCUUUUAGUCGGAAAGAAAGAGUUGCAAUGAAUAAUUGUGAUUUAUGACGGUACCGACAGAAAAAGCACCGGCUAACUACGUGCCAGCAGCCGCGGUAAUACGUAGGGUGCGAGCGUUAAUCGGAAUUACUGGGCGUAAAGGGUGCGCAGGCGGUCUUGCAAGUCAGAUGUGAAAGCCCCGGGCUUAACCUGGGAAUUGCGUUUGAAACUACAAGACUAGAGUGCAGCAGAGGGGAGUGGAAUUCCAUGUGUAGCAGUGAAAUGCGUAGAGAUGUGGAAGAACACCGAUGGCGAAGGCAGCUCCCUGGGUUGACACUGACGCUCAUGCACGAAAGCGUGGGGAGCAAACA